rnacentral:rRNA from 1 species
GAGGGUGCAAGCGUUAAUCGGAUUUACUGGGCGUAAAGCGUGCGUAGGUGGCCAAUUAAGUCAAAUGUGAAAUCCCCGAGCUUAACUUGGGAAUUGCAUUCGAUACUGGUUGGCUAGAGUAUGGGAGAGGAUGGUAGAAUUCCAGGUGUAGCGGUGAAAUGCGUAGAGAUCUGGAGGAAUACCGAUGGCGAAGGCAGCCAUCUGGCCUAAUACUGACACUGAGGUACGAAAGCAUGGGGAGCAAACAGGAUUAGAUACCCUGGUAGUCCAUGCCGUAAACGAUGUCUACUAGCCGUUGGGGUCUUUGAGACUUUAGUGGCGCAGCUAACGCGAUAAGUAGACCGCCUGGGGAGUACGGUCGCAAGACUAAAACUCAAAUGAAUUGACGGGGGCCCGCACAAGCGGUGGAGCAUGUGGUUUAAUUCGA